GACGGAGACAAACAUCGUGAGAGAGUAAUAUUCAUCGGUUGCCUCCAGUACAUGCCCCAACCGGGUAUGUGCCCCAACUUGAAAUUUAACCCGAGACCCUUCGGUGCAUGGGAUGAAACUCCAACCAACUGCACCACACGGGCCAGGGCUGUGUCCAUUUUCUUCGUCCACUAGGCUGUGGCAGCUUAAGGGCAGGGCCAGGGCUAGUGUUCCCCUUUGGCCUCAGGCCCAGUGCCAUGCCUGACACUAAAUCUUUGUGGACUGUGGGCAGACUACACUGGGUUGGGUCUGGGUGACCUUUUCGGGUACCCCCGUUUCUAUUCCAGGCUCUGGUUUCUGUGAUGGGAACACCAAGGCAGUGCCCUUUGGGAUGCCAAGAAAAGCAUGAGCUACCCAGUUUGGCAGAGUCCCUGCAUCCUCCACUUCUGAAAUGGGGGUGAGCAGUUGAGCAAAGAUCCUGGGGCUUUCAAGCACUCUGUCAACUUUUCUGGACUAAGAAGCCUCUCUGGACGGCAGGGCUGGGUUGGGAGAGAUGGUUGGAAAAGCCAGGCUUCUCCAGCGACAGCCAGUCCUGGCUGGGAGCCACCCUCAAUGCAGGACAAAGCAGAAAUAGAAACGUACAGGCUGAGGCCACCACAUAUCAUCACAUAUCCUCGGUGCGGAAGGGGAGCACCAGCAUGACCCUGCUCCAGGCUGCCCCGUCCAGGCUGGCUGAGCCCCAUACAACCCGUAGGCCCUGCUCUGCAGUUUCAGUUGCAUGAAGGCAGUUUCCAAAAUGGAGUGGGCCUGGCUCCAGGAAGGCGAUGGAAGGGAGGCUCCCACCCCAACUGUGGUUUCUGCAGGGAGUGGCUCGCUGGCCAUUCUGGGGCCACAUGAGAGAAGCCAUUUAGGCCACGAAUAGAUGAGGGGAAUGGGGCGUCUCCUCUGGUCUUGCGGCCCCUGUCAGUGUCUGAUGUGGUGUCCUGCUCCCUUUCACUUUCUCGCUGGGCUGGGCCCGAUGUGUCCUGGAACCUUGAGAACCAGCGCUAAGUAAGGCAGGCUGUUCGCCCUCAGGGAGUCCACACAGGAGUGGGAGAAGCAGACACACAAACUCUUAGCUGCAGGGAGUCUGUCCAGGGGGUGGGCAUGCAAAGGCGAAGACUUCACAAGAGGUGACUGGGAGCUGAACCUGCUGAAAGAAUAGGAUUUUCCAGGUGGCAAGGAAGGGGGAGGAGGCAGCCUGCGCCAGAUCCUGGAGGUGUGGACAGGUACCGUAUGUUGGGAGAAUGAGUGAGCCUGAGCACAGCUAGGGACCAGAGGAGGUAGAGGUCACACCAGGGCCUUGGGACCCCAAUACAGUUUCUGUCCUGGGUUAGCGCUCAGCCUCCCCAGGUGGUGGUCAGCACAUCUCAGGAUCGGGGUGGAGGCACCUGUAGUGUCCCGCCAUCAUCCUGCCCACUCCCUCUGACGCCCACUCCCUCUGACGCCCACUCCCUCUGACGCCCACUCCCUCUGAUGCCCAUUUUUCUAUUUUUGGCAGACUGACCAGGAGCCAUGAUGUUUACACCCAUAUGAGCCGAGUCAGCAGAUUUAAAUUUCAGACGUCUUCAAAAAAGAAGUCAGGGUGACAGCUAGCAGCUUCCUGAAAUUCUGAGAUCAGAGGAAAUGUUGACUUAGAGCCCUAGUGGGGGUUGGAGGGAGGAUACCAACUGAGCUGGGUCCCAGUCGAGGGGUUCCUAGGACACUUGGCUUCUAACCCAGAGAUCUCAGCCCUGGCUGGGAAGAACCUUUGAACAGCUUUAUUGGGGUGUAAUUUGCAUACCACUAGAUUUGCUGUCACCAAAAGACAGUUCAGUGAUUUUGAGUAAAUUUACACAGUUGUGCAGUCAUCACAACUCAGUUCUAGAUUCCCAUCACCCAGAGCUCUUGUGACUGUUUACAGUCAACCCCUCUCUGCAGCUACCAUCCCAGGUUAACCACUAACUGCUGUCUUGAUAGGAUUGCCUUUGCAGACCUUUCCUAUGAAAGAGAUCAUAUAAAAUGUAGUCUUUAUGUCUUGCCUCUUAUAUUUUGCAUAAUGUAUUUGAGAUUCAUACAUGUGCAUAGCAUGUAUCAGGAGUUCAUACUUUUUAUACUGUUGGACAGUAUCCCAUUGUAUAGGUAUAUGCAUUUUGUUUAUCGGUUUACCAGCUGGUGGACAUUUGGGUUGUUUGCACUAUUAUGAAUAAAGCUGCUAUGAACAUUCAUGUACAA